CGGAUUCUAAUCCUAAAAAUCCCUCUACUCAAAAGGAGUUCCGCAGAACUCAGACGGGCAGAUGUGCGCAGUCUCCGUGGCACGUACGCCAGAGCCCGGGGAGUUGCUCAAUACAGCGCUUCUCCUGCGUGGCCAAUGGAGAGCCGGAGACUUGUCUUCCCGAAGGCGCUGCAACUGCGGCGUGGGACUGCAUGCUGGGAAUUGUAGUUCCGCACUGUGGUAAUUCCACUCCUGGGAAACUGUCAGCUAGAAAUAAAGCACCAUUCCGUUACGAUAUUCUCUGAUUGGAAAGUCUAGCCACCUGGGACAUGAGAGACAUGAAAAUUCAGACUUAAAGACUGCACAUUUGCCUUUGAUCAUCUUACAGGGAUUGUAACUUCUUUUGAUGUCUACUAGCAGCUCCAGAAUUAAAUCCUCAACAGAAGAAGAGUUUCUUUCUUCCUAAGAAUUGUGUCUAGUCCUGAGUCACCUGCUGGAGCCAGAGAUGGACCACACCAUGUGAACCGCGUGAGCUGAGAAUAGGAAGGAAUGAUUCCCAAGGGGAAAUCGAGAGCUGUUGCCAAAAGAAGGGGAAUGGAUGCUGGUGAGAGGGGCAUAAGCGCACACUGUGUACUACAAGACCUUUCUCUCUCCUGCUCUCUCAUCCUCACUCACGUACACACACAUUGCCUCUUCCCGUCCUUCUACCUGACCAGCUGUGUGAUCUUGGUUAACCUUCCCAGAGCUUCUUUGUUGCACGUUCUUCAUUUCUAAAUACACCUGCCUCCUUCAAACUUUCAACAGGGAUGCUGAGCUCUCUUCCAAGAGAGAGGGACCCUGAGAGCUUCAGGGCAGAAGACCAACUACCCUGAAAGCAUCUCACUGUAAGGAAGCUCAAGCUAGCCACGUGGAGAGAGAGACAGAGACAUGCCUGACCACCUCUCAGAUGUUCCAGUCAUCACAGCUGAUGUUCUGGACAUGAGUAAGUGAGGAAGCAAUCUUAGACAUUUCAGCUCCGGUAGACACCAUGUGGAGCAAAAGAACUAUCCAGCCCAGAUUGCAGGAAUGGGAGAAUUAAUAAAUAUUUGGUGGUG
rnacentral:lncRNA from 1 species